UCUUGAUCGAAAUAUUUUACACUUCAGUGAUAAACUGAGAAUGCUUUUUCUUUAAGUUUAUUUUACGUAUAUGGGCACUUUGUCUGUGUGUACAUUUGUGAGUCAUCUAAAUGCCAUUAAAUGCCAUUAGCCAGGGGUGGCCAGAAGAGGCUAUGUAUCAGAUCUGCUGGCACUGGAGUUACAGAGGCUUGUGAACUGCCUUGUGGGUACUAGGUAUUAAACCUGAAUUCUCUGGGCUAGCCACUGAACUAUCUCUCCAGCCCAAAAGAGAAUGCUGUAAGAAGUUGGUUUCUGGCUGACAGCAGAAGUAGAGGUCACUGACCCAUGGUCUGUCUUGCUCUUUGCAUUAAUGCCCUCAGCUAGAACUGCCUCCAGGACAGGAGACAGACAUGAGUCAGGAACACAUCCAGGUCUGUCACUCUGCCCGUGAAAGCUUCUGCCAAGUAAAAGAUGUGUGCCAUGGAGUUAGGAAGAACUUCAUAAUCAUUCUCAGAUCUAUUUUCCAUCUUCUCCAGGGCAAAACUUAGUCCUUUGUCUUUCUUCACAAGUUCUGUUUCUAUGUCAGCUACUUCUUGGUUUAAAUGGGACCAUUCCUUCUAGUUUCCAGUAAUCUGUUUUGGUGAUUCUUUGUUUCAAGGCAUUGAGCCCUGACUAGCUGUGAUCCAUUUUUUCCAUCUGCCAUCUUUUUGUCACUGGCUACUUAGAGCUGCUCAGAUUGUGUCCUCACUGAUUGUUCCGUCUCCUCUGGGACCAACAGUAGUCACGGGAGCCUUGAAAGGGUACUGAGAACUUUUGGCAGUGUAUGGAGCACCUGGUGUAAGGAUAACCAGUGUAACUACUGGGGUUUGAGAGGGAGGUAUCCAGACACAUAUAAAGAGGUUCCAUUCUGCACACGUAGCAUAGGGGAGGUCUUUAGUGGGUUGGUUCCCUGGAACAGCCAUCAUUAAAAAAGCAGGUCCAGUACAACUUUGAGGUUUUUGUGUAGAGUAAUAAGGGCAGUUUCAUGGUGUGUGUCUCUAUUUGUGUGGACAACAUCUCUUAGAGCUGGUUCUGAGACAUCACCAUGGUACCCAUAUACCGUCUUCACAGGCAGAGAAAGCAUCAGCAUCAAGGGCUUGUCUCCAGAAAAUUGCAGAAAGUAUCCCAACUGGAAGCCAGCACCAAGAAAAUACAACUUUAAAGGCUAAGUUUAUCCUUAGAGCCCUUCUUAAGACAUAAUAUUUGAUAAAGUGUCUUACCAAGCUGUUUUUCUCCAGUUUGAUUUUUAGCUGCUCCAUAGUAAAAUACGUGGUGAGUUUUACUGAAAGAAAUGUACAACCAGAUGACUAUAAUCCGCUGUUGAUGUAGAAAAUCAUACUUUGAACACUUUUUGGAGAGUCUCAAAGUUGGCUUUAUAAGUUAGCACCAAACCUGUGUUCAGUGCAAGUAGGAAAGCAUGAAUUUGGCAUGUUAGUGCUUUGUUUUUUUAAGACAUAACAGGGAAAAUGCUAUAACCAUUCUAACAGCCGAUGAGGCUUGCUUUUACAAAAGGAUCUUGUGAUCGAGCAAGGUAAGAUGGUUUUAAUCAUUUAGUCAUUACAGAAAAAAAAUUUUUUUAAGGCAGGAUCUGUUUAAUCUGAGUUUGAACUCACCAUCCUUGUGCCUCAGCCUUCCCAGUGGUGAGAUCACUUCUGACUAAACGGUGAUGUGAAGAUUGGAGGUUGUUUGCUGUGGUUCCCGCUUUCCUGGCUUUCGCCCAGCAGUACUGACUUUAGUUCUCCCAGCAGAGUACUGGAACAGUCACCACACUCUACAGGUGAUUUGAAGACUUAAGUUGGAUUAAAAACUUUGAAGUUACCUAACCUAUAUUAAACUCAUUCAAUUAUACUUAAAAGUUGAUUGUAGUUAUUCAGUCUCAAGAAUACAUAACUCAUUGCCCAGGCUGCCCCUAACUUCCUGGAUCCAAACAGUUGGCUGUAGCUGGGACGACUACAG
ensembl:lncRNA